rnacentral:snoRNA from 1 species
GAGCUGUGACGAUAAUUGUGUCAACUGUGAUAGAUGGGUCUGUCACAAUCUUCUGAUAUAUCUCAGACGAAUCGUGGCACUCCUGAGCUC